GGGUUGCUCACGCUAAGAACGAGAAUCUCGGCCCAUCCCUCCCUGGAUGCGAAACUAGGCAGGAGCGGGGAGCUCACCUCGCUGGAGUCCCGGAGUCCCAGGUGUGACUGUCCCGCCCGACGGACGGGCCUUAAGGGUGUGCAUUCAGCGGUCUAUGGCACGUCCACGGUGGAGUGGUUCGUGGUACAUUCGCAGAGAUGUGCGCCCACGGCUCUUCUCUCCAGGGGACAUUCGUCGUCCCAGAACAAAGCCCACACGCGAGCAGAGGCUCUCCGUGUUCAUUUCCCUGCCAGCCCGCGGCAACCGCUGACUUUUCUGUCUCUACGAAUUCACCUGCUCCAAACAUUUCGCAUAAAUGGACUCAUACGAUGUGUCGUCUUCGUGGUGUGUCAGCGCUUCCUCCCUUUUUGUGACCGAAUGCCGCUCUGUCGUGUGGCUCCAACACGUUUGAGUGUCCAUUCGUCACGUGACAGACACUUGGCUUAUUUCCCGUUUGGAUAUUCCGAGUGAUGCUGCCGUGAACAUCUGCGUACAACCUUUUGUGUAAACCUACGUAUUCAUUUCUCUUGGGUCUAGAACCGGGGGUAGAAUUGCUGGGUUGUAGGGAAACGUUACGGUGAACAUUUUGAGAAAGUGCCAACUUGUUUUCCCAAGUGGCCGCGCUGUUCCGCAAUCCCGCAAAAAAAAAAAAAAAAAAAAAAACCACGGUGGCUGUAACUUCUCCGCCUCUCCACCCUCCCUUGUUAGUGUCUCGUUUGUUCCAGCCAUUUCUGUGGGUGUGAUGUGGCCUUUCAUUGCAGUUCCCUAAUAACUAAUGAUGUUGAAUGCCUGUUCAUGUGCUUCUUGGCCAUUUAUAGAUCUUCCUCCGAGAAAUGUCUAUUCAGAUCCUUUGUCUAUUUCUCGAUUGGGUGACUUCCCUUUUUAUCGUGGAGUUUUAACAACGGUUUAGGUAUUUUGGAUGCGAGACCCUUAUCAUAUAUGUGAUUUGCAACUUUUUUCUUUCAUGUUGUGCGUGGAGUUUUUACUCUUUUGAUGGCGUCCUCUGAAGCAGAACUGUUCUUUUUGCAGUGAAGUCUGAUGUUUCUAUUUUUUCCUUUUGUUGCUGGUGGUUUUGGUGCCAUAGCUAAGAGACUAUUGCCUACCCCAAGGUCACUUCCAUCAGUUAUCUGCCAGAACGCCGUCUCAUUAGACAGGUUCACCACCGUCCGUCACCGCUCUGUCUCUCGCCUGCCCUGAUUUUCUGCCUUGCAGUCGCCCCUACCUGACACGCUACGUUCGCACUGGCUCACCUGUCCCCCUCCGUCUUCCACACCGGACUGUCCCUUCCUUGAAAGUAAAGCUUCUUCUC
rnacentral:lncRNA from 1 species